GUGUUCACUUGGGUAGCACAUAUACUAAAAUAAGAAUGAUACAGAGAUUAGCAGAGCUCCUGCACAAGGAUGACACACAAAUCCAUAAGGUACUCCAUUUUUUU